rnacentral:rRNA from 1 species
CGCCAGACUCCUACGGGAGGCAGCAGUAGGGAAUCUUUCACAAUGGGCGAAAGCCUGAUGGAGCAACGCCGCGUGCAGGAUGAAGGCCUUCGGGUUGUAAACUGCUUUUAUAAGCGAGAAAUAUGAUGGUAACUUAUGAAUAAGGAUCGGCUAACUACGUGCCAGCAGCCGCGGUCAUACGUAGGAUCCGAGCAUUAUCCGGAGUGACUGGGUGUAAAGGGGGCGCAGACGGCGAUGCAAGCCAGGAGUGAAAGCCCGGGGCCCAACCCCGGGACUGCCCUUGGAACUGCGUGGCUAGAGUGCAGGAGGGGCAGGCGGAAUUCCUGGUGUAGCGGUGAAAUGCGUAGAUAUCAGGAGGAACACCGGUGGCGAAGGCGGCCUGCUGGACUGCAACUGACGUUGAGGCCCGAAAGCGUGGGGAGCAAACAGGAUUAGAUACCCGCGUAC